UUAUUGAAGAGUUUGAUCCUGGCUCAGGAUGAACGCUGGCGGCGUGCCUAAGACAUGCAAGUCGAGUGGGUUUAGACCCACGGCAAACGGGUGAGUAAUACCCAGGAACGUACCUCUAGUUGAGUAUAACCUACCGAAAGGUAGGACAAUCCUCAAUGUGAUCGCAAGAUUAAAGUCGCAAGACGCUAGAGAAGCGGCCUGGGCACCAUCAGCUAGUUGGUAAGGUAAUGGCUUACCAAGGCUUUGACGGUUAGGGGCCCCGAGAGGGGAAACCUCCACACUGGAACUGAGACACGGUCCAGACUCCUACGGGAGGCAGCAGUUUGGAAUUUUGGACAAUGGGCGAAAGCCUGAUCCAGCGACGCCGCGUGGACGAUGAAGGCCUUCGGGUUGUAAAGUCCUUUUGCAAGGGAAGAAUAUUAUGACGGUACCUUGCGAAUAAGAGGUUGCUAACUCUGUGCCAGCAGCAGCGGUAAUACAGAGACCUCAAGCGUUAUCCGGAAUCAUUGGGCGUAAAGCGUACCGAUAGGUGGUUAAGAAAGUCAGAUGUGAAAUCUCCGAGCUCAACUCGGAAUCUGUCAUUUGAAACUUCUUGACUAGAGGGGCAAAGAGGAAGCUGGAACGAACGGUGUAGUAGUGAAAUGCGUUGAUAUCGUUCGGAACACCAAUAGCGUAGGCAGGCUUCUGGGUGCCACCUGACACUGCUAGGACGAAAGCGUGGGGAGCGAAGGGGAUUAGAUACCCCCGUAGUCCACGCUGUAAACGAUGUACAUUCGCCGCUAGGGAGUAUCGACCCUCUUUAGUGGCAAAGCUAACGCGUUAAAUGUACCGCCUGGGGAGUACGGCCGCAAGGCUAAAACUCAAAGGAAUUGACGGGGACCCGCACAAGCGGUGGAGCAUGUGGUUUAAUUCGACGAUAAGCGAGGAACCUUACCAAGUCUUGACAUGUAGCUGCAUCAUCCAGAGAUGGAUGCGCCUUCGAGGGUGCUACACAGGUGCUGCACGGUUGUCGUCAGCUCGUGCCGUGAGGUGUUCACUUAAGUGUGAAAACGAGCGCAACCCCUAUCAUCAGUUACAAGUGUCUGAUGAAACUGCCGGCGUCUAAGCCGGAGGAAGGCGGGGAUGACGUCAAAUCAGCGUGGCUCUUACGACUUGGGCGACACACGUGCUACAAUGGAAUGGAACAAAGGGACGCCAAGGAGUAAUCCGGAGCAAAUCCAAUAAAACAUUCCUCAGUUCGGAUUGAGGGCUGCAACUCGCCCUCAUGAAGCUGGAAUCGCUAGUAACCGUAGAUCAGCCUCGCUACGGUGAAUACGUUCUCGGGUUUUGUACACACCGCCCGUCAAGCCAUGGAAGCGGGAAGCGGAUGAAGCGUCUAUUUAGUUAGGCUCCAAUCCGAAGCUCGUAACUGGGGCUAAGUCGUAACAAGGCAUCGGUAGCGGAAGCUGUCGAUGGAUCACCUCCUUU
rnacentral:rRNA from 1 species